GACCUCGCUCCCCAUGAGAAUGGGCGCGGUGGGCUUCAGUGUCCAGAAAUUCUUAACGGGGCUAACCUGAGACACAGGCCAUGCUCCCAUCUCAGUCCAUGUCUUGUGAUGGUGACACUGAGACCUGAAAUGUCU
ensembl:snoRNA